CCACCUCAGGGCUUUUUCCUCCUUGGCGAUGGUGGGUACCCCUGCACAGAGAAGCCAAUCGCAAUCAUGACACCAUUUAAGAAUCCAGCCUCACCAUCUACUCAGCGCUUCAAUGCACAUCUUUCCAAAGGCCGCUCAAUUAUUGAGCGUGCUUUUGGAAUGAUGAAGACGCGAUUUAGAGCCAUAUUCCUUCAGGCACUUGAAGUGCAUCCAACAUUUGCAUCAAAGGUGAUAGCGGCAUGCACCAUGCUGCACAACAUCAGCCUUGGUGUUGGCGACAUUAUACCACCAGACGACAGCCAAGAAGAAGAGGAAGAUGAUGUGGAGGCAUGCAAUCAAGGGGAGGCAGUAUCUGCCUUACAGGAUAUCAACCAGGACCACGACUACAUAAAUCAUCCUAAUUAAAAAAGAGCUCAAGAAGAGGAUCUGAUUGUUGUUUUCUCUUUCUUGGCCGUGACUGCUCUAUCCCUGCCCUCUCCUGCUGUUCUGCUUCCUGGGUAGGCUCAACAGAACUGCAACCUGGCUGUGGUUCGUCAUCAGGCAGUGAAGCAAUGAGAACAGGGGGAGAAAUGGAAGGCCUCUGACCCAACAUCUCAUCCAUCAGAACAAACCACGGCCAGGUUUCAGCAAUUGGCUUUCCGCUGUUCAGGCCCUCACCUAACCCUGGAUGUUUGCAUUCCUAAGACAAAAAAAAUGUUAAUGGUGGUGUCAUAAAUACUCACUCAUGCCACCUCUGAGCCUCAUUAAAUGUCUGAAAAUACACCGAUGAGCC
rnacentral:lncRNA from 1 species